rnacentral:rRNA from 1 species
AUAAUGGGUCAGCGACUUAUAUUCUGUAGCAAGGUUAACCGAAUAGGGGAGCCGGAGGGAAACCGAGUCUUAACCGGGCGUUAAGUUGCAGGGUAUAGACCCGAAACCCGGUGAUCUAGCCAUGGGCAGGUUGAAGGUUGGGUAACACUAACUGGAGGACCGAACCGACUAAUGUUGAAAAAUUAGCGGAUGACCUGUGGCUGGGGGUGAAAGGCCAAUCAAACCGGGAGAUAGCUGGUUCUCCCCGAAAGCUAUUUAGGUAGCGCCUCGUGAAUUCAUCUCCGGGGGUAGAGCACUGUUUCGGCUAGGGGGCCAUCCCGGCUUACCAACCCGAUGCAAACUGCGAAUACCGGAGAAUGUUAUCACGGGAGACACACGGCGGGUGCUAACGUCCGUCGUGAAGAGGGAAACAACCCAGACCGCCAGCUAAGGUCCCAAAGUCAUGGUUAAGUGGGAAACGAUGUGGGAAGGCCCAGACAGCCAGGAUGUUGGCUUAGAAGCAGCCAUCAUUUAAAGAAAGCGUAAUAGCUCACUGGUCGAGUCGGCCUGCGCGGAAGAUGUAACGGGGCUAAACCAUGCACCGAAGCUGCGGCAGCGACGCUGAUGCGUUGUUGGGUAGGGGAGCGUUCUGUAAGCCUGCGAAGGUGGCCUGUGAGGGUUGCUGGAGGUAUCAGAAGUGCGAAUGCUGACAUAAGUAACGAUAAAGCGGGUGAAAAGCCCGCUCGCCGGAAGACCAAGGGUUCCUGUCCAACGUUAAUCGGGGCAGGGUGAGUCGACCCCUAAGGCGAGGCCGAAAGGCGUAGUCGAUGGGAAACGGGUUAAUAUUCCCGUACUUGGUGUUACUGCGAAGGGGGGACGGAGAAGGCUAUGUUGGCCGGGCGACGGUUGUCCCGGUUUAAGCGUGUAGGUGUGUGUUCCAGGUAAAUCCGGUUCACUUUAACACUGAGGCGUGAUGACGAGGCACUACGGUGCUGAAGCAACAAAUGCCCUGCUUCCAGGAAAAGCCUCUAAGCAUCAGGUAACAUCAAAUCGUACCCCAAACCGACACAGGUGGUCAGGUAGAGAAUACCAAGGCGCUUGAGAGAACUCGGGUGAAGGAACUAGGCAAAAUGGUGCCGUAACUUCGGGAGAAGGCACGCUGACACGUAGGUGAAGUGAUUUACUCAUGGAGCUGAAGUCAGUCGAAGAUACCAGCUGGCUGCAACUGUUUAUUAAAAACACAGCACUGUGCAAACACGAAAGUGGACGUAUACGGUGUGACGCCUGCCCGGUGCCGGAAGGUUAAUUGAUGGGGUCAGCGCAAGCGAAGCUCCUGAUCGAAGCCCCGGUAAACGGCGGCCGUAACUAUAACGGUCCUAAGGUAGCGAAAUUCCUUGUCGGGUAAGUUCCGACCUGCACGAAUGGCGUAAUGAUGGCCAGGCUGUCUCCACCCGAGACUCAGUGAAAUUGAACUCGCUGUGAAGAUGCAGUGUACCCGCGGCAAGACGGAAAGACCCCGUGAACCUUUACUAUAGCUUGACACUGAACAUUGAGCCUUGAUGUGUAGGAUAGGUGGGAGGCUUUGAAGUGUGGACGCCAGUCUGCAUGGAGCCGACCUUGAAAUACCACCCUUUAAUGUUUGAUGUUCUAACGUGGACCCGUGAUCCGGGUUGCGGACAGUGUCUGGUGGGUAGUUUGACUGGGGCGGUCUCCUCCUAAAGAGUAACGGAGGAGCACGAAGGUUGGCUAAUCCUGGUCGGACAUCAGGAGGUUAGUGCAAUGGCAUAAGCCAGCUUGACUGCGAGCGUGACGGCGCGAGCAGGUGCGAAAGCAGGUCAUAGUGAUCCGGUGGUUCUGAAUGGAAGGGCCAUCGCUCAACGGAUAAAAGGUACUCCGGGGAUAACAGGCUGAUACCGCCCAAGAGUUCAUAUCGACGGCGGUGUUUGGCACCUCGAUGUCGGCUCAUCACAUCCUGGGGCUGAAGUAGGUCCCAAGGGUAUGGCUGUUCGCCAUUUAAAGUGGUACGCGAGCUGGGUUUAGAACGUCGUGAGACAGUUCGGUCCCUAUCUGCCGUGGGCGCUGGAGAACUGAGGGGGGCUGCUCCUAGUACGAGAGGACCGGAGUGGACGCAUCACUGGUGUUCGGGUUGUCAUGCCAAUGGCACUGCCCGGUAGCUAAAUGCGGAAGAGAUAAGUGCUGAAAGCAUCUAAGCACGAAACUUGCCCCGA